rnacentral:tRNA from 62 species
UCGCCUGAUCAACAAA